rnacentral:rRNA from 1 species
AUGGGGAACUUCUACUCUUGCUGGGCAGAGCACUCGGCGGUAUGCAGGACGUCGUCGGUGUGCACAACGGAGGCCACCACCGGAGCGCACAAGUUCGUCGUCAAGAACUACUCGCUGCUUGUGGGAUCGGGCGCCGACGAGUACGUCAGCUCCAGCACCUUCAGCGUCGGGGGCUACGACUGGAACAUCUACUUCUACCCUGACGGUGACCGCCGGGCGCCUGACCACGUGGCGGCCUUCUUGCAUCUCCGCGGCGGCGCGGCGGCGGAGACGGGGGUCAAGGUGUGGUACCGCUUAAGCCUGCGGGAGAAAGGCGGCAAGGUGCACCCGGCUGGGCCGUUGCUGAUCCAAAAGUUUACAUCGGACGGUAAUAUUGGUUAUGGCAAUAUCCGGUUGGCUCACAAGUCCAAGCUACGAGGAGACCGCUUCACCAUCAAGUGUGAGUUGGUCGUCAUCAACAAGCCAACAGUGCAGGCGUUGUAG